GGAAUGGAUGUAGCUGAGUGGUAGAGCAUCUGCUCUGUGUGCAGGUCUCUGGUUCAAUCCCUGCCAUCUCUG